AGAGUUUGAUCCUGGCUCAGGAUGAACGCUAGCUACAGGCUUAACACAUGCAAGUCGAGGGGCAGCAUGGUCUUAGCUUGCUAAGACUGAUGGCGACCGGCGCACGGGUGAGUAACACGUAUCCAACCUGCCGUCUACUCUUGGACAGCCUUCUGAAAGGAAGAUUAAUACAAGAUGGCAUCAUGAGUCCGCAUGUUCACAUGAUUAAAGGUAUUCCGGUAGACGAUGGGGAUGCGUUCCAUUAGAUAGUAGGCGGGGUAACGGCCCACCUAGUCUUCGAUGGAUAGGGGUUCUGAGAGGAAGGUCCCCCACAUUGGAACUGAGACACGGUCCAAACUCCUACGGGAGGCAGCAGUGAGGAAUAUUGGUCAAUGGGCGAGAGCCUGAACCAGCCAAGUAGCGUGAAGGAUGACUGCCCUAUGGGUUGUAAACUUCUUUUAUAAAGGAAUAAAGUCGGGUAUGCAUACCCGUUUGCAUGUACUUUAUGAAUAAGGAUCGGCUAACUCCGUGCCAGCAGCCGCGGUAAUACGGAGGAUCCGAGCGUUAUCCGGAUUUAUUGGGUUUAAAGGGAGCGUAGAUGGAUGUUUAAGUCAGUUGUGAAAGUUUGCGGCUCAACCGUAAAAUUGCAGUUGAUACUGGAUAUCUUGAGUGCAGUUGAGGCAGGCGGAAUUCGUGGUGUAGCGGUGAAAUGCUUAGAUAUCACGAAGAACUCCGAUUGCGAAGGCAGCCUGCUAAGCUGCAACUGACAUUGAGGCUCGAAAGUGUGGGUAUCAAACAGGAUUAGAUACCCUGGUAGUCUACACGGUAAACGAUGAAUACUCGCUGUUUGCGAUAUACGGCAAGCGGCCAAGCGAAAGCGUUAAGUAUUCCACCUGGGGAGUACGCCGGCAACGGUGAAACUCAAAGGAAUUGACGGGGGCCCGCACAAGCGGAGGAACAUGUGGUUUAAUUCGAUGAUACGCGAGGAACCUUACCCGGGCUUAAAUUGCAGAUGAAUUACGGUGAAAGCCGUAAGCCGCAAGGCAUCUGUGAAGGUGCUGCAUGGUUGUCGUCAGCUCGUGCCGUGAGGUGUCGGCUUAAGUGCCAUAACGAGCGCAACCCUUGUUGUCAGUUACUAACAGGUCAUGCUGAGGACUCUGACAAGACUGCCAUCGUAAGAUGUGAGGAAGGUGGGGAUGACGUCAAAUCAGCACGGCCCUUACGUCCGGGGCUACACACGUGUUACAAUGGGGGGUACAGAGGGCCGCUACCACGCGAGUGGAUGCCAAUCCCAAAAACCUCUCUCAGUUCGGACUGGAGUCUGCAACCCGACUCCACGAAGCUGGAUUCGCUAGUAAUCGCGCAUCAGCCACGGCGCGGUGAAUACGUUCCCGGGCCUUGUACACACCGCCCGUCAAGCCAUGGGAGCCGGGGGUACCUGAAGUGCGUAACCGCGAGGAGCGCCCUAGGGUAAAACUGGUGACUGGGGCUAAGUCGUAACAAGGUAGCC
rnacentral:rRNA from 1 species